rnacentral:rRNA from 1 species
GUCCUUUUGUUGAUAAUUUAAGGUCUAGCCUGCCCACUGAAAUUUUAAAUGGCCGUGGUAUUUUGACCGUGCUAAGGUAGCAUAAUCAUUAGUUUUUUAAUUAAAAACUGGAAUGAAAGGUUGGAUAAGAAAAUAGCUGUCUCUGUUAAAUUUAAUUAGAAUUUUAUUUUUAAGUUAAAAAGCUUAAUUAUUAUUAAAAGACGAGAAGACCCUAUAGAGUUUAAUUAUUUAAUAAAAAUUAUAUUUUAGUAUUUAUUUAUUUAUUUUAUUAAAUAAUUUAAUUGGGGUGAUUGAAAAAUAUAAUUAACUUUUUUUAUUUAGAAACAUUAAUUUAUGAAUGAAUGAUCCAAUAUUUUUGAUUAUAAGAUAAAAUUACCUUAGGGAUAACAGCGUAAUUUUUUUAGAAAGUUCACAUUAAAAAAAAAGAUUGCGACCUCGAUGUUGGAUUAAAAUAAAUUUUUGGUGUAGAAGCUAAAAUAUUAGGUCUGUUCGACCUUUAAAAUUUUACAUGAUCU